rnacentral:rRNA from 1 species
AUGAGCGUCUCCUUCUGGCUGCUCGUGCUCAUGCUCUGCCCAGGUGCGUGGGGCAUCAAACUAAUCAACCAACAACAUCUCCUCCAUAUGGACUGGCGGCUCCGGCGAGGUCGAACGGUGCGGGCGUACGAGGUCGAACUGCGCAGAGUGGAGGACCGGGGCAUGGCGUCGUGGUCCAGCGACGGAAGCGCGGGGUUGCAGGCAAUGACGGCCGUUAGGUGGUUACUGGCGGCGGCGCACCUGGUGGCGGGGAGGUGGUUGGGGCGGAGGGCGGCUGCCGUGGGGGAGGAGGCGCGCCGACGUUGGAGGAGGAGGGGCGCCGGCCGCGGGGGAGGUGGCGUGCGGCGGCGGGGAUGGAGGCACGCCGGCCGUGGCGGAGGUGGCGAGCGGCGGCGAGGAUGGAGGCGCGCCGGCCGUAGCGGAGGUGGCAUGCCAGCCGUAGAGGAAGAGGCGCGCGGUGGCGUGGAUGGGGCCGGCGCCGGCGUGGGUGCGUUGGGAGGGGCGCGUGGGAAAGGGAGGCGGGUGGAUCCAGAGACGUGGGGGAGGCCUCCUGCCUCCUUUUGUCGCCGUAUCCAUCAACGGGGCCGUGAUCCCCGCCUCCUGCCUCCCUCCGUCGCCGGAUCCAUCGAUAGGGCCGUGAUCCCCGCCUCCUGCCUCCCUCUGUCGCCGGAUCCAACGACGAGGCCAUCAUCCCCGCCUCCUGCCUCCCUCCGUCGUAGGAGCUCCUUCUCCGGGGUAGUGAUCCCCGCAAGGUGCUGCCUCCCCGGACCUCUUCGCCGGACGUCCACCGCAAGCAGGAGCUGCAUCAAUGGCGCCGCCUCCCAAGAACAUGCCAGUACGCCACCCACGAGAGGAAUAAGAAGAAGUCAGUCCACUGGAGUUGUGUCAGUUCGAACUAGUGAAAGAAUGUUGUUGAAAAAAAUAUACACUUGUUACACAAAGCAUGCAAGGCGGCGCAGGCAGCGAGCGUUUGAUGAGCCAAGCAGAUAUGGGGCACCGCCUGGUUGGGUAACACCAGAAAUAGCACCUGGAUACUUCAACAAUACACGCAGAUUUCAAGAUACACCGGAAUCAUCAGAAGCACGGACAGGUUCUUCUAUGCAGGAAACACAAAUAUCUGGGAAUACAAGCUUUGCCACUGCUGGGUUGCAACAAGGCCAGCAAUUUCCCCAACAACAAAUGUUUUCCUUCCCUAGCGCAUGCAGAAAGGCAAGGACAGGGAGCCGUGGAUGGGUUGCAACAAGGUUUCCACCAGUCGCUCCAUCAACAUCGAUCAUCCGUGCUGCAAAAGCGGUUACGACAGGAAGACCAGGCCAAAGAGACAGAAAUUUUGGCCACUCUAGCAGGUUCCAAAAUACAAGAUAUGAGCCAUAUAGACAGGAGCAACCUCACAAUGAAUCUGAGAGGAGACGGCCGUACAAUGAGAGACGGAGAUCUUCGUCAACAUUGCUCCCUCCAAGAGAUGCAUUGCUGCAUGUGCCAAGGGUGACACCACCCGCGCCCAUACACCAGGGUGAACAGCAAACAUCGGAGGCAGCACAGAGCUAUACACAUCCACCUAACAUUGAAGCUUAUGUUUUGCCAAGGCUAGAGAUGCGCUUUGAAACUUUCGAAGAAGCAAAGAACUUCUACAACGUCUAUGCAAAGCACGCGGGUUGUGCUGUCAGGGAAGGCCCCAAGUUUAAGACCAGAGCCUACCUUUAUUGCACGUGCUAUGGAGUCUAUGAAUCGAAGGUGUCAGAAGCAAAUAGACAGCGGAACAAGACGACAGCCAGGACUAACUGCGGGGCUAAAAUGAGGCUGACGAAGGAAAAGGAUGGAACAUUUGUCUACAUCAAGUACCUGCAGUUCAAAGGCAUUGAACACGCGCAAAUCAUGAGCAUACUGGGCGGUGAUGACCCUGGUAGCUACUUCCUCAAAAUGAAUGCCAACGACCUGAUUAACCUGGCAGACCAGAAACUGUGGGGGACCAGCCCGCUGCCAGACAACCUCAUCACGUACGCAGGAAUAGAUGCAUACGCAACGUACAAGUCAUGGAAGACAAUCGACAACAUCGUGACAGGUUGGGAUAUUUCAAAAGAGCGGGAUGAAGAUGCAUGA